ensembl:antisense uncharacterized LOC110327189
GUUCUUCCAGUUUCUGAUGAGGAUGGAGGACUAAGACUCUGCAGGAAUCCUCCAGGCCUUUGGUGUCAGAUUGAUGUGGCUGAGACAUCAGCCUCAUGGACUGAGCAAGUACUGGGUUUCACCCUCUUCACUGAGACAGCCAUUGUUGGACUAUUCUAACCGCAACUUACAGCACGUGGGAGAACCAGUUGGAACUGAUACAGACAGGUGCAGAACACCAUGGAGUUACCUUCUGCAGUGUUCUGCAAAGGGGUCCUACUCACAGUCUCACUUACAACCUGCUGAAACACUCCAGUCAUGAUCAAACUAUUGAAGUGCCAGACAGUGUUGUUGAAGUGCACAGCAUUCUUCUACAUGUUCACAAUAAAUCACAGAAUUGGCAAGCCUU